rnacentral:rRNA from 1 species
GCGAACAGGAUUAGAUACCCUGGUAGUCCACGCCGUAAACGAUGGAUACUAGCUGUUCGGAGCAAUCUGAGUGGCUAAGCGAAAGUGAUAAGUAUCCCACCUGGGGAGUACGCACGCAAGUGUGAAACUCAAAGGAAUUGACGGGGGCCCGCACAAGCGGAGGAGCAUGUGGUUUAAUUCGAUGAUACGCGAGGAACCUUACCAGGGCUUAAAUGGGAGACGACAGUUUGGGAAACCAGAUUUUCUUCGGACGUCUUUCAAGGUGCUGCAUGGUUGUCGUCAGCUCGUGCCGUGAGGUGUCAGGUUAAGUCCUAUAACGAGCGCAACCCCUAUUGUUAGUUGCCAGCGGGUCAUGCCGGGAACUCUAACAAGACUGCCGGUGCAAACCGUGAGGAAGGUGGGGAUGACGUCAAAUCAUCACGGCCCUUACGUCCUGGGCUACACACGUGCUACAAUGGACGGUACAGAGAGCAGCCACUGCGCAAGCAGGAGCGAAUCUUCAAAGCCGUUCUCAGUUCGGAUCGGAGUCUGCAACUCGACUCCGUGAAGCUGGAUUCGCUAGUAAUCGCAUAUCAGCCAUGAUGCGGUGAAUACGUUCCCGGGCCUUGUACACACCGCCCGUCAAGCCAUGGAAGCUGGGGGUACCUGAAGUCGGUGACCGCAAGGAGCUGCCUAGGGUAAAACUAGUAACUGGGGCUAAGUCGUAACAAGGUAGCCGUAAUCGAAUUCC